rnacentral:lncRNA from 1 species
UCUACUCUUAAAGUAGUUCAAGCAUAGCCUGUCGCUGCCCAGAAAUCAUUCCAACGUGUGUAAGGUCCCCAAAUUCAAGGAUCAAGUCAUUCCUCUUCUCAUUGGAUGUACCUGCAGCUACCUGUAAGUUGUUUGCAAUUUGCAAAUAAAGUCAUGAGUAAAUGUCUAUAAGAGCCAUUUCUUUAUAGUUUUAACAAGAAAAUCUGUUACCUUAUUUUGCAGAAGCUUGUUUUCUUCCCUCAGCAUCUUUUCCUGCAGGUAGAGAUGUGGAGGUAAGUAGGUUGACUGAUUUUUAAUAUGCUAUUAUAAUUGCAGUCAACUGUCUGUGUCCUUGAGUCCUCCACAAAUUCCGUUGUGAUGAAACUAGGCUAUAAUGGAUAAAUUGAUUCAAGCUACUUAUAUAGUUAUUGUUGCAAGUCCACAGAACAUUCAAAUGCUAGUACUAUAUAUAGUUGUAGAGAAGAAUUUCAGUGUUGCAAGAACUUUAUUUCUAAGUCUAAUCAUACAUCAGAAGAUGCGUAGCAGAUAUAUCUGUUAGGAACCUCUAUAUCUAAAUACACUAUAAAUAUAAUAUCAACCGCAGAUCCAGCCCAGUGGAAAAUUUUCCUUGACAUGAUGUUGAUUGACAUAUAACUGUAUCGGAGAAAGAUAAUCUUUCUCGUUUCAUAGAAUUUGAUGAGGAUUGAGAAUAUGCUAUCUACUUUUGAGGGCAUAUAUUCUUCAUACACAAAUUUCAGUAGUAAAAAUGGAAAUAGGAAAAAUGUUUCUAAAAAAGUGUAAGGCUGCAGAUUGCUUUGACAUACCACUUCACUUAGACUGGUUAUUGAUUCCAUCAGUAAUCGUGUCUGCACGAAAAUAUCACAUGAGGUAAAGUAAUAAGAAACCCGAAAUCAUGAAAACCAGAAGUUGUUAAGAAACAAAAGAUGAGAGUUACGGAAUCAACAGAAGUGUGCUUGAAUAGGGGAGGAACAUUGAAAAUUUGUCAGUCUCCUCCCAAAUGAUACAUGGCUUAUUCAUCCUCUUGCAGAACUUUCACCAUCUUACUUUUCUGGGCCUCUUUCUUUUUCCCGCUCUCUGUUAGUUGUUUGUCUGCUUCUCAUGUAUGUUAUAGUUACACCAUUAUAUUCAAAAGUCUGAUCUCAUUUUAGAUAACUAGUUUGUUAAUUGUACAGUAAAGAUAGAGGCAAGCUGAUUAACAAUUCAUGCACUCGAAGAUUCCAAUCUACUGAUCUCAGGAAAGAUGCAAGACAUGGUACUGUACCCAGAUAGAGAAAAUUGCUUUGUGGGCCUAAUUUUUGGAAACAACAAUAACCUUAUAACUCUCAUCAACCCACACUUGUCCAACCAUCUACACAUUAGCAUGUCUAGUAAACCAGUUUAGGAAUAUUAACCUUGAUGUAGCUGUCAUUCUAGCUCUUUUCGCGCCAUAACUAUCAUUAGUGUCACAACAAAUAUGGAACAAAGUACAUUAUUUUACUAUGAUGCGAAGAACCUUUUAUUUCUUAUUUGGUCAUUUACCUUUUUAAGGAUAAGGAUGUCCCAAGACACCUUUAUUCUACUAAAAGUCAAAGAAGAAAUCUUUCUGCUAUUAAAGUCAAAGAUAGUAAUUACCACAUCUCAUAGUGACUUUUUCUAGUUAUGCAGGCUUAAUCUCGAAAUACUUCAAUGUGCUAAAUACAAUUAUACAAAGUAGCCAUGUUAACUAAUCAUAAAAAUUAGAGACACGGAUCUAUGAAAUCCUUUUACUGAAACUAUGUAACAGUGGAAGUGGAAACACAGAUAUGAAAUCCUUUUACUGAAAAUAUCUGACAGUCGAAGUGGCAACACCAAUACAAAGAAUUAUUCUCUCUACUGUCAGAUUGCAGAUUUGCACGAGUUCUUUCAACACAUAGCUUACACAGUUACACCUAUUUUGAGAAAACUGGAGAAAAACAUACCUUCCUAGAUCUUGUUUGAAUGAGUGCAUCUUCAAGUUGUUCUUCCAAUUGCACUAGUUCACUCAGGUUAAGGUGGUCAACAUCUGGCUCCUCUAGAUCCCUGUUGGAAAACAGAGACAACAUUAGAUUCUAUAGUUGUCGAAGGAGAUGAGGUAUUAUGUCAGUGCCUUUCAACUUUUUCCAGCAGCUUUCUGAUUGUCACGACAUUUCUGCCUUCAGGGUUACGUUUCUGAAACAGAAAUGGAAAUACUAGUAAAUCAACUAGCAUAAAAAUAUGUCCACCCAAGCAGAAACUAGACUAUUUGGUAACACAAAGAUGGAAUUAUAUAAAGCAAUCAGCAUAUGAUCCGGAGGCUUCUACAUUCCAAAACAUUAUGCUAAAAACCACACUUAAGCUUGGCAAAUACUUAGACUCCUGAUUGACAUUAGUGAUUUAGUGGGCGGUUGAGUGAAACAAAUCCUUACAGCUUAUCUGUCCUACAAUUGUAGGUAAUAACUGAGAUAACUGCAAUGUAUGUUUAGUGCUUGUAAUUUCUUCUCCAAUGUUAUUAGGAGAUUUAGAUAGUGAAACAUGCUCUAUAAGCAGUUCAAUGCUGUUUUAGAUAGUGACAUAUGAGCCAUAAGCGGUUCAAUGCUAAAUCCAAGUAGUCGAAUGCUAAGAUGUCAUCAUUUCAUCACUUCCAAUAACUCCUUUUACUUGCUCUAACCUCAAUAAGCUACAAACUUACUGUUACCCUGCACCAGUGGUUGACAGGUCCAAAACAAGCCAACAUUAUGCUGCAAGUAUUUUAAGCUCCAUAAAGCACAUCACAAACUUACCUCUACGCCGCUAAUUCUUGCAGACCC